UCUCUUGGAAAACCCAGUGGAACAAAACCAAGAGGAGGAAAAAAGAGUACAAGUCACACACCUCCACUAUCUCAGCUUAAGUGGCUUGAAUCUCAACCAACAUAGUUGGAUAAGCACACUCAAGACUACCCUUUAGUGUCAUAGGAAUUUAGGGAAGUGAAACGCUUAUUUAGCUCCAAUAUCUUCAUCUUCAAGCUGCUCGUUCGCUUCAAGCUGCUCAUUAGCUCUAUGUUCCAAGCUUCCCAUUAUCACAUCAUAAAG
rnacentral:lncRNA from 1 species